AAUAGAUACCCUGGUAGUCCACGCCGUAAACGAUGAGUACUAGGUGUAGGGGGUAUCGACCCCCCUGUGCCGCAGUAAACACAAUAAGUACUCCGCCUGGGAAGUACGAUCGCAAGAUUAAAACUCAAAGGAAUUGACGGGGACCCGCACAAGCAGCGGAGCAUGUGGUUUAAUUCGAAGCAACGCGAAGAACCUUACCUGGACUUGACAUCCCCUGAAUAACUCGUAAUGGAGGAAGCCCUUCGGGGCAGGGAGACAGGUGGUGCAUGGUUGUCGUCAGCUCGUGUCGUGAGAUGUUAGGUUAAGUCCUGCAACGAGCGCAACCCCUGUCGUUAGUUGCCAUCACGUAAAGGUGGGCACCCUAACGAGACUGCCGCGGUUAACGUGGAGGAAGGUGGGGAUGACGUCAAAUCACCAUGCCCCUUAUGUCCAGGGCAACACACGUGCUACAAUGGGCAGAACAGAGAGAAGCAAUACCGCGAGGAGGAGCAAAUCUCAAAAACUGCCCCCAGUUCGGAUUGCAGGCUGAAACCCGCCUGCA
rnacentral:rRNA from 1 species